AGACUUUGAUCAUGGCUCAGAACGAACGCUGGCGGCAGGCCUAACACAUGCAAGUCGAGCGCGCCCUUCGGGGUGAGCGGCGGACGGGUGAGUAACGCGUGGGAACGUGCCCUUUGCUGCGGAAUAGCCACUGGAAACGGUGAGUAAUACCGCAUGAGCCCUUCGGGGGAAAGAUUUAUCGGCAAAGGAUCGGCCCGCGUUGGAUUAGGUAGUUGGUGGGGUAAUGGCCUACCAAGCCGACGAUCCAUAGCUGGUUUUAGAGGAUGAUCAGCCACACUGGGACUGAGACACGGCCCAGACUCCUACGGGAGGCAGCAGUGGGGAAUCUUAGACAAUGAGCGCAAGCCUGAUCCAGCCAUGCCGCGUGAGUGAAGAAGGCCUUAGGGUUGUAAAGCUCUUUCACCCGCGAAGAUGAUGACGGUAGCGGGAGAAGAAGCCCCGGCUAACUCCGUGCCAGCAGCCGCGGUAAUACGGAGGGGGCAAGCGUUGUUCGGAUUUACUGGGCGUAAAGCGCGCGUAGGCCGGACCAUCAAGUUGGGGGUGAAAUCCCGGGGCUUCAACCCCGGACUUGCUUCAAAAUUGGCGGUCU
rnacentral:rRNA from 1 species